ensembl:lncRNA
AUGGAAAGGGAAAUAAAUCACACCGGCCAUAGGCAGAGCUCCCACUCCGUGACAUACCGUGCCACGAGCCGAGGGCUGCUAGGUUUACCGAAUCAACAUCUUCUAAUCCACCUAAAAACACCAUCCGGACCUCAACUCCUCAGGACCCUCGGGCAUAAAGGAUGCAGCACCUUUGGAGAUGGUGGGGCUUUCUACAGACACACCGCAGCCUUCCCCCGCAGGCUGUCAGUGGCGAAUGAUGCCAAGAGAGCUCGGCCGGGACCCGCUGCCGGCAGGGACGUGCCCUGCAUGUCCCCAGACUCGUCCCCCCACCAGCGCUACGAUGCACACCCGCACCGAGAACGCUCCCUGAGCGAGCCGGGUAGCGAGGCACAGCGCACCGCCAGCAGUCUGCCAGACCGCGAGAUGGAGAGCCCAUCGCGUGUAUUUACACAGCUACCAACGCCGCACGGAACAGAUAUUCCCUGUGUUAAGAAAAACGCGAAGGAAAACAAAAAAAAAAAAAAUUUUUUUUUUUUAAAUGCCCCCGAAGAUUUGCUGCUGCUCAUCAUCCUUCCCUUCUCUUUCCAUUCAUUUAUAAAAACGAAAGGGAAAAAUGCCCAUCCAAAUGCCCAACGACUGCGGAUCGCGGCGGCCCCGCGCGGUACCACCCGCCACCCGGGGGCUGAGCGCAGCGGCCCGCUCCCGCCCGCCACUGCCCAGCGCCCCAGCGCGGCUCUACAGCGGCACUCGGAGGAGCGCUCCUCCCGGACCCGCGGCCGCUCCGCCACCGCCGCUCCGGGCCUCACGUGGUGCCCAUCCAAAGGUUACUCGCACGGCGCGGGGCGCUCCGGCCGCGGCGCGCUCCCACCCUCCGCGAUGCGCCGCGCCGCGCUCCAUCCCCGCCUCCCUCCCGGGGUGCGGCAGCGCGGGGCUCGCACGGCCGCUCCCCCCGGCCGCCACCUUAAUCCGCGCGAGGCCGUGCGGGGCAGCUCUCGCUCGGCCCCGCAUCCGCUGCCCUCAAGGUCACGCCGCGCCGCGCGCUCCGGUUACCUCCCGCGGAGCGCAGCGGGAGGCACGCGGCGCCCCGGCCCCGCCGAGCCCCUGCACCUGCCGGCGCGCCACUGCGGAGAGAGCGGCGGAGCAGAGCCGUGCCGAGCGGAGCCGAUCCGAGGCGCUCCAGCAACCACCGCCCGCCCGCCGCGCUUACCUCGGGGCCGCCCCCGCCGCCGGUCGGGACGAGGCGCCCGCGAAGCUGCCCCUGCCCCUGCCGCCGCCCGCCGAGCGCGAGGUCCCCGCGCCGCGCCGCCCCCGCCCUGCGGCCAAGGGAGGGAGGGAGCGGGGAGGGGAAGGGGCGGGGGCGCGGGACCGAAUUGGGGAGGGAGGGAGGGGCGGGGAGGGGGCACCGGCGCGGAGGGAGGAGGAGGGGGGGGGAAGCGAGGAGGAGGCGGAGGAAGGGGGGGGCUCGGGCCGCUCCGCCGGCCGCGGCCAGACUCACCCUCCGGCGGCGCUCCGGGGCCGCCGCCGCGCGCUUCGUGCCGCACGCACCGGGCAGCGCCGAGCGCGCCGCGGAGCCCGAGCCCCGCACAGCGACCGCUACAGGAGCCGGGCGGGGCGGAGCGGAGCCGGGCGGGGCGGGGCCGGGCCGAGCGCGCCUCCCGCCCACUCGCCUCCCGCCCGCCCGCCCGCCCGCGGCCGCUCACCCUCCGCUGCCGGCGCCCGGCGCGCCCCUCGCCGCCCGCCCGUCACGUGGCGGUGCCCCUCGCGCGGUCGCCCGAGGGGAGUCCCGACGCGCGGCGCCCUCGGGGGGCAGGAGGGGACGCGCCGCGAUAG